UCGUACAGUAUGUAUCUUAACCUUUUUUUUUGUUUUGUUUCGUCUUUUGAGGCUAGCUGAUCCAAGAAAGUGUAAUCUGAAUAUGGUUGCUUGCAGGUUCUUGAACAAUGUUUGCAACAAUCUGACAGCCUUCUCCUUGGGAUGCUUUGGAAGCGGAAGUAGCAAUGGUAAUGAUAUGCCAGGAAGCAGCAGUAGCAAUGGUAAUGAUAUGCCAGGAAGCAGUAGUAGCAAUGAUAAUGAUAUGCAACACACAGCAGACCAGAUCGUAUGAGUAGGUAACUAAAACUGUUGGAUUGCAUUGCAUUUUGGUGCUGUACAAGCCAAGUUAGAAGCUUUGACUGGGUACAUUUGUUAGUUCAAGAAUUGGAAAGUACAAUCAAACAAACCAAUAUUUCUAUAUGCCUGAUUGUGUACCAGAUAAGCACAUUAGCAUACUAGCAGCUGUGUCUACUGUUGAUUUUCAUUUGUGAUGUCUGCAAUCCAUCUUGCUUCUUAUUUGAUUCUAGUCUAGCCAGUCCUCCAUGUACCCUUAGUUAAAAGGAACACUUGUUAGAUCAUUCCCAUUAUGCUAUUUAUAAGUUUUUUGCUUUCUUUGGUGUGGAUGUUUCAUUUCGUUGCAAACGUAAUCCUUGCAGUCUUUGUAUACUCUAUUUGAAAUAUGAAGAUCAAUGUGAGAGUCAUAACUGUGUGGUUGCAGGCGUCAAAUGUCGAGAUUCGGAGACCAGCCAUGAAGGUUGUAGAGGACGAUGGAGACAACUGGGAACUUCCAGCAGGAGGAAUAACCUUAUUGAGUUGUUCUUCUCUUUUGCCGGUUUAUGCAUAUUCCUGCUUCUUUCUGAACUUAGAGAUUGCUAUCUUUACCAGGAGACUCCUGUUGCAAUCUGACCCAUCCAACUUUUAUAUUAGGAAUGGAGGCUACUUUCUAUCUCCAGAACUUAAGAUUUUUGCUUCUACUACUUCUGAGUUACCCUUUUGGUUUCUGUUUUGAGUUACCCUUUUGGAGGCUACUUUCUAUCUUCAGAACUUAAGAUUUAUGUUUCUACUCCUUCCGAGUUACCAUUUUGGAGGCUACUUUCUAUCUCCAGAACUUAAGAUUUAUGUUUCUACUCCUUCUGAGUUACCCUUUUGGUUUCUGUUUGUGCCUACCAUGGCAAAAGUACAGUAUCUAAAACAGGGGAUCUUAUCUUAUCAGAUGUCAAUUGUCAACAACCUCCAUAUAAUAUUAUGUGCCUAAGUGCCUUCCUUCCACUAGUUCGCAGCUUCUGCAAUGUUUUACGUAGCUUCAUAGCAGUGCUGGAUUGAAGGAACAAGUCUCGAGAUUCUUCUGCAAUCAUUCAUAAUCAAUGUUAGUUACUAAUCAAAGGUUACAUAAUUCAUACAUACAGUAGAAUUCACUCCUCUUUGCUCUGUUGUUUUUCCCGUUUUGUUAGCAGUUCAUUCCACUUCUUUUUAG
rnacentral:lncRNA from 1 species